rnacentral:rRNA from 1 species
AACGAACGCUGGCGGCAUGCCUAACACAUGCAAGUCGAACGAGACCUUCGGGUCUAGUGGCGCACGGGUGCGUAACGCGUGGGAACCUGCCCUUAGGUUCGGAAUAACUCCCCGAAAGGGGUGCUAAUACCGGAUAAUGUCUUCGGACCAAAGAUUUAUCGCCUUUGGAGGGGCCCGCGUUGGAUUAGCUAGUUGGUAGGGUAAAAGCCUACCAAGGCGACGAUCCAUAGCUGGUUUGAGAGGAUGAUCAGCCACACUGGGACUGAGACACGGCCCAGACUCCUACGGGAGGCAGCAGUGGGGGAUAUUGGAAAAUGGGCGAAAGCCUGAUCCAGCAAUGCCGCGUGAGUGAUGAAGGUCUUAGGGUUGUAAAGCUCUUUUACCCGGGAUGAUAAUGACAGUACCGGGAGAAUAAGCUCCGGCUAACUCCGUG